GCCGGAGAAGAGGGGAAUGGGGAAUGACUGCUAAGGCGUAUGGGUUUUGUUUGGGGUGAGGAAAAUAUCCUGGACUUAGAUAUUGGUGACGGUUGCACAACUCUGUACCAUUUGUUUUGUUUACUCAGUGCCAGGCACCCUGCGUACAUCACUUGGUUUAACCGUCACAAUUACCCGGUAAAUGGGAAUUCUCAGCUGCGUUUCAGACAAGGAACCUACAGCCUGGAAGGGUUAGUUAACCUAAAAGGGGAAGAAUUCUCAAUUUCCACACCAGAUGUGCAUGCCCAUUUACCUCCAGGAAAACACACAGAGAAAUAGCUGCAUUGAAGAUUCCUAACUUUACUAAGGGAAAGAAGACUGAAGAAUACAUCCUCCAGUGGAAAAUUCUGCUGAACCAUUUUCCUCCUCAAUUCACCUCAACUUGUUACUAGAAAGAGCUGUGAGUCGGGGCCAACUCAGAGUGUGGCACUCUUCUGAGGAAUGUGAUGUGCCUCAGAUAAUUUGCAUAGGCUUUUCUUGAAAGGCAGAAGAUGAAUACUAAUAAAUUUAAUUAGCCAGUGCUUUUCUUGAAAUGUAUCUGAAAGCAGAUGACAGAUCUCCAUAAUCAAAC
rnacentral:lncRNA from 1 species